rnacentral:rRNA from 1 species
UACGAAGGGGGCGAGCGUUGUUCGGAUUUACUGGGCGUAAAGGGCGCGUAGGCGGCGGACCUUGUCGAGUGUGAAAGCCCCGGGCUCAACCUGGGAGGUGCGCUCGAGACGGGUUUGCUGGAGUUCGGGAGAGGAGAGUGGAAUUCCCAGUGUAGAGGUGAAAUUCGUAGAUAUUGGGAAGAACACCGGUGGCGAAGGCGGCUCUCUGGACCGAGACUGACGCUGAGGCGCGAAAGCGUGGGGAGCAAACAGG